GCCGCUAGCCUGGGUCUCCCCGCUUUGCGUCCUCGUGCGCCCGGCCCCCGCGGGGUGCUGCACCGCACCGCCUCCCCCUCUCGGGCCGCGAUGGUGCGUCCCGCUCCUCGGCGGCUCUCCCGCCCGCCGGAGCUUCGCGAAAGUCCCGGAGUUGGGGAGUUGGGUGCUAACUGGUGCGGGCUGCGCGCUGGUGGGCAGCGAGCGAGUGCGCGCGAGCCGGGGCGCCCCGGGACCCGAGCGCCCGGCGGGGCCACCUCCAAUAAGGGCUGCUGCCAGGCGUUUUCGAGCUCCCCGGGGAUACGCAAAUAGUGCGAGAGCCUGGCCGAAACCUCAGAGCCUACAGCCCCGGAGCACUCGCCUCGGCCCCGGGACCUUCAGACCCGCUCUGACUACCCCUGCGUUCUCAGCCGGAAAAUGGGGCCACAGCUGUGCUCCGCGCGCUGUUCUACCCGCGGUGCCCGGUUUUCUUCCUCCCCGAGACCUUGGACGUUAGGUGUGAACGCCUUCUGUAAAUUGUAGAAUGCCACCUGUCUGCUGUCCCUGCAAACCCGCGUGGAGGUGACCAGAACCUCUCUGCGGGACCCUCUGUCGCGCGAGCCCAGCCUGCCUGGGUCCGAAUGUCUUCCAGUCCCACGUGUGCCUUGGGACGCAGCGCUCGGAGCCGUUCCCACUGCCUCUCGAGUUUUUCUAUCUCCCAUGCAGCCGCUCAGCCAGACAAGAUGAGGUGCACGGCUCCGGGAGGAAGUGCAGGCAGACCCAGCCCUGACAGCUGGGAGCUGAAACGUUAGACACGUGAUCCACCAGACAAGGAACCACAUCAGAGGUCCUGUCUCCGAGAGAACUAUCCUGACCACCUGACCACAAGCACCCGAUCACUUCUACUUGCUUCAUUUUCCUUUGGUCUCCCUCUGCAAUGUAAGUUCCAAGCAAGCAGGCGCUUGGUGUUUCUUCGUACCCCCUUCCUCUGUCAGCACAUACUUCUUUUUUUUGUUAAUCAGAAACUGGCAUUCUUUCCAGGCGGAGGAAUUUGCAAAUGAGGUCUACCUUUCCCUGAGCCAAAGCAGAGCCAAACCACAGGAUUUCAUACUCUUUUUAGCCAUAUGGAACUAAACUGUACAUCCUCCCAGACUCUCAGCUGCACUGGGCAGCUAUCUUGUCUGCUCAUUCCCUGCCUAGACCUACACUGCGGAACAUUUGUGCCUGACACGUGCAAAGGGAUGAAAACACGUAUUGGUGAAUGAAGGAGAGUCUACUCAGGAAAUGGUGGACCCUCUGCCUUCGAUAUAAGCCCCACUCUGAGGAGUGCACUGGACAUCUUGCCUUUGCUGCUAAUCUCCUUCCUUUGGACCCUAACUCAGUCAAGGUGAAGCUUCCUGAGAACAUCUCCAAUGCAGAGGAAAGUGAGCUGAGAGACCAUCCAGUCACCCAAGCCAACCCCUGAUGUCAUCUGUGCUUCUACUUUGACCGACCUCCUGCAUUCAAACAAUUACCUAAUAAUGCUGCUUUUACUGCCUAAUAAAUUUUAAACUUAUUCCUUGC